ACUCAAUGCUAUGAUGUAGAUAGCAGUAUAGAACCAAAAAUCUGUAUGAGGCCUUUCCAUUUGUUUUUGUUCUAAGACGACGUUCUGGGAGGACAGUUGCCAUUUUUUUUGUUUUCACUUUGAGUGUUUAUCUUUUGCCUCUAGGUGGAUCGGAUCAUUUUCUGUGUCUUCUUAGAAGUUGACUUCAAAAUCUACAAAAAGAAAAUGAGUGAAUUUUUCUCUGUAGACGAUAAUAAUGAAGAAGAAGAGGAUGUCGAAAUGAAAGAAGAUUCAGAGGGGUUAGAGCCAAAAGGCCUCUCUCCACCCCACAAGAAGAGCAAAGCAAAGAAGCCAGAAUGUUCGAAAGACUCUAGCGAGGAUGAGAAUGGUCCAGAGGAAAAGCAAAGUGUGGAAGAAAUGGAAGGACAGAGCCAAGAUGCAGAUGGUGUCAACACUGUCACGGUGCCUGGCCCCGCUUCCGAAGAGGCAGUGGAAGACUGUAAAGAUGAAGGUAUGAGGCCACUAACUACAUCUAAUAAUUGCAGACUCUUAGACCAUUUGGGCUUGUUUAUAUGGAAAAACGAGGCAGCAAGUCAAAUAUAACUAGGUUUUCUUAAGUGUCUCUGUUUCCAAUACAAUCGACUAUCCCACCUACUCUCUUUUAUUGCAUAUCUAGCCUUUAUAGAAAACACACACACACACACACACACACACACAUAUAUAUAUAACAUUUACAUUUGUUCCUUUGGAAAAUAACUAUUUAUGAAAUGAGAGAAUGACCAGAGAAAUUAUGUUUAGAGACGUUUAUUUAAAACACCAGAAUUAGUCAGUUCUGCUCUUUACAGCCACUCAUCAGGAAAAGGUUUGAAAGAGUGGCAUUUGAGAACCACCAACCAGGGAGCACCAUUUUUCAAAAAAGAAAGAAAUGUUUGAAAGGCAUCCUUAGAAACAAAUCUUUGGCAAGAGCAUCAUUCUCCAUUCUGUCGACAGUUACUCUGAGAAAAUGUUGCUGACCCAAGUAUUUCCAGAAAAAGUAAAAAAAAAAAAAAAAAGAAAUUACUCUUUAGAAGACAAUUUGAGGAAGGAAGAAGUAGUGGAGACAUUGAUGUGGGGAUGCUAGAAUUAAAAAAUAUAUAUCUAAAGGAAAACAAAAUAGUCCUUUUUCUCUCUUUCUCCUGGUUCAUUGGCAAGUCCCCAGAUGAAAAGGUAAUAUAGGCAUACCUUACUUUCUUGCACUUCAUUUUACUGUGCUUUGAAAAUACUGCAUUUUUUACAAAUUGAAGUUUUGUGGGAACCCUGCAUCAAGCAAGUCUGUUGGCACCAUUUUCCCAACAGCAUGUCCUCAUUUCAUGUCUCUGUGUCACACUUUGAUAAUUCUCACAAUAUUUCAAAGCUUUUUACUGUUAUUCUAUUUGUAAUGGUGAUCUGUGAUCAGUGAUUACUACUAUAAUUGUUUUGGGGUGCUAUGUACUAUGCCCAUAAAAGAUAGUGGACUGACUUAGUAAAUGUGGUUCUGACUCUUCCACUGACCCACUAUUACCCUGUCUGUCUGCCUUUUCUCAGGCGUCCUUAUCCCCUAAAACACAACAAUAUUGGAAUUAGGCCAAUUAAUAGACCUACAAUAGCCUCUAUGUGUUCACGUGAUAGGAAGAGUUGCAUACUAAAUCAUACUUUAAAUCAAAAGCUAGCUAUGUUUAAGUUUAGUGAGGAAGGUAUGUUGAAAUCUGAGAUAGGCUGAAAUCUAGGCAUCUUGUGCCUAGUUGUGAAUUCAAAGGGAAAGUUCUUGAAGGAAAUUAAAAUUGCUACUCCAGUGGACACAUGAAUGAUAAGAAACUGAAACAGCCUUAUUGCUGAUAAGGAGAAAGUUUUAAUGGUCUGGAUGGAAGAUCAAACCAGCCAUAACAUUCCCUUAAGCCAGAGCCUAGUCCAGAGCAAGGUACUAGAUUUCUUCAAUUCUACUGAUGCUGAGAGAAGUGAGAAAGCUGCAAAAGGAAAGUUGGACCUUAGCAGAGGCUAAUUCAUGAGGUUUAAGGAAACAAGCUGUUUCCAUUACAUUAAUGUGCAAGGUGAAGCAGCAAGUACUGAUGUAAAAGCUGCAGCAAGUUAUCCAGAAGAUCUAGCUAAGAUCACUGAUGAAGGUGGCUACACUAAGGAACAGAUUUUUGAUGUAGACAAAACAGCCUUCUGUUCGAAGAUGAGGCCAUUUAGCAUUUUCAUAGCUAGAGGGGAGAAGUCAAUGCCUGACUUCAAAGGACAAGCUGGCUCUCUUGUUAGGGGCUAAUGCAGCUGGUGACUUUAAGUUGAAGACAAUGCUUGUUUACUAUUCCAAGAAUCGUAGUGCUCUUAAGAAUUAGUCGAAGGCUACCCUACCUGUGCUCUGUAAAUGGCACAACAAAGCCUGUAUUAUAGCAUGUCUGUUUAUAGCAUUGUUUACUGAAUAUUUUAAGCCCACUGUUGAGACCUACUCAGAAAAAAAAUGAUUCUUUUCAAAAUAUUACUGCUUAUUGACAAUGCACCUGGUCUUUCAAGAGUUAUGAUGGAGAUGUACAAGGAAUGCAAUGUUGUCUUCAUGCCUGCUAACACAUCUAUUCUGCAGACAAUGGAUCAGGGAGUAAUUUUGACUUUCAAGUCUUUCUUUUUAAGAAAUAUGUUUUCUAACACUGUAACUGCCAUAGAUAGUGAUGUCAUCCUCUGAUGAAUCUGGGCAAAAUAAACUGAAAAUAUGGAAAGGAUUGACUAUUCUAGAUGACAUUAAGAAUAUUCAUGAAAGAAGGUCAAAAUAUCAACAUUAGCAAGGGUUUGAAAUAAGUUAAUUCCAACCCUCAUGGAUGACUUUGCGGGGUUCAAGACUUCAGUGGAGGAAGUAACUAAAGAUGUGGUAGAAAUGUCAAGAGAACUAGAAGUGGAGACUGAAGAUGUGACUUAACUACAAUCUCAUGAGAAACUUGAACAAAUGAGAAGUUGCAUCUUAUUUAUUAAAAAAAGAAAGUGGCUUCUUGAGAUGGAAGCAGGUUUGAGAGUAUUGAGUUCAAUUUUUUGUUUGUUUGUUUUUGAGAUGGAGUUUCGCUCUUGUUGCCCAAGCUGGAGUGCAAUGGCGCAAUUUUGGCUCACUGCAACCUCUUCCUCCCAGGUACAAGCAAUUCUCCUGUCUCAGCCUCACAAAUAGCUCAGAUUACAGGCAUGCACCACCACAACCAGCUUUUUUUGUUGUUUUUUUGCUUUUUGUUUUUUUUAAAGUAGAGAUGAGCUUUCACCUUGUUAUUCAGGCUGGUCACUAACUCCUGACCUCAGGUGAUCCACCCGCCUCGGCCUCCCAAAAUGCUGGGAUUACAGGCAAGCAACACUGUGCCUGGCCUUACUCAGUUCAAUUUUAAGAUAAUUCCUACUGUGCAUAAAAUGCCAUCAAACAGCAUUGCAUGCCACAGAGAAAUCUUUUGUGAAAGGAAGAGACAAUCAUUGUGGCAAGCUUCAUCAUUGUCUUAUUUUAAGAAAUUACCAUAGCUAGCCAGGCAUGGUGGCUCACACCUGUAAUCCCAGCACUUUGGGAGGCCGAAGCGGGCGGAUCAUGAGGUCAGGAGAUUGAGAUCAUCCUGGCUAACAUGGUGAAACCCGGUCUCUACUAAAAAUACAAAAAAUUAGCCAGGCAUGGUGGCGGGCACCUGUAGUCCCAGCUACUCGGGAGGCUAAGGCAGGAGAAUGGUGUGAACCCAAGAGGCAGGGCUUGCAGUGAGCCAAGAUCAUGCCACUGCACUUCAGCCUGGGCGACACAGCGAGACUCCGUCUCAAAAAAAAGAAAGAAAUUACCAUAAGUACCUCAACCUUGAGCAACCAAGUGGUGGCCAUCAACACUGAGUGGCCAGUAGUGACCAUCAACAUUGAGGCAAGACCCUCCACCAGGAAAAAGAUUACAAGUUGCUGAAGGCUUAGAUGAUGAUUGGCAUAUUUUAGUGAUAAAGUAUUUUUCAGUUCGAGUACAUUAACUGUUUUUUAAGACAUAGUGUAUCUAAAAAUAUAACUGAUGUCAAAUACCCACAUAGGCUCUGAUGGGAAACUCUAGGUCAUCUCAGGGAGAUAAAUAAAUCUGAUCAAAUGCGAUCAGAGUGAAAAGACAGAAAGUGGUGUUCAUCUUAAGCAAAAAUUUUGGUCAUACCAAUCAUUUAGUUUGUGCUAAAAAUUUUAAAGUGUCAUGAAGUUGAGUGGCAGAGUUUAAGAAACAUGAAAGAGAGAUAAAUUAAUUUGAAUGUGACCGUGUUUCAGGCUGGGAUUUUUCCUGUUGAGUUGUUUAGUUUGGAGAUAUCACACCUUCACAGAAGCACACUGUUUGUGAUGUUUCUUGAUGCUUUUAGGAACUCACACCAUUAAUUGCUUAUGCCAGGAUUCAUUUUUUGGAAUACUUUUAGGAUUUUUUUAACAUAAAACUUUUAAUGAUGGUAACUCCAUGAAGGAGUUCUGUUAUGUAUCACAAAUGCAGUUCCUAAAUGUGAAGUUUUAUGAGUAUUACUGAAAUAAGCC
ensembl:lincRNA